rnacentral:rRNA from 1 species
ACCUAGGUGCUUGCAUCUUGAUUUAAUUUUGAACGAGUGGCGGACGGGUGAGUAACACGUGGGUAACCUGCCCUUAAGUGGGGGAUAACAUUUGGAAACAGAUGCUAAUACCGCAUAAAUCCAAGAACCGCAUGGUUCUUGGCUGAAAGAUGGCGUAAGCUAUCGCUUUUGGAUGGACCCGCGGCGUAUUAGCUAGUUGGUGAGGUAACGGCUCACCAAGGCAAUGAUACGUAGCCGAACUGAGAGGUUGAUCGGCCACAUUGGGACUGAGACACGGCCCAAACUCCUACGGGAGGCAGCAGUAGGGAAUCUUCCACAAUGGACGCAAGUCUGAUGGAGCAACGCCGCGUGAGUGAAGAAGGCUUUCGGGUCGUAAAACUCUGUUGUUGGAGAAGAAUGGUCGGCAGAGUAACUGUUGUCGGCGUGACGGUAUCCAACCAGAAAGCCACGGCUAACUACGUGCCAGCAGCCGCGGUAAUACGUAGGUGGCAAGCGUUAUCCGGAUUUAUUGGGCGUAAAGCGAGCGCAGGCGGUUUUUUAAGUCUGAUGUGAAAGCCCUCGGCUUAACCGAGGAAGUGCAUCGGAAACUGGGAAACUUGAGUGCAGAAGAGGACAGUGGAACUCCAUGUGUAGCGGUGAAAUGCGUAGAUAUAUGGAAGAACACCAGUGGCGAAGGCGGCUGUCUGGUCUGUAACUGACGCUGAGGCUCGAAAGCAUGGGUAGCGAACAGGAUUAGAUACCCUGGUAGUCCAUGCCGUAAACGAUGAAUGCUAGGUGUUGGAGGGUUUCCGCCCUUCAGUGCCGCAGCUAACGCAUUAAGCAUUCCGCCUGGGGAGUACGACCGCAAGGUUGAAACUCAAAGGAAUUGACGGGGGCCCGCACAAGCGGUGGAGCAUGUGGUUUAAUUCGAAGCAACGCGAAGAACCUUACCAGGUCUUGACAUCUUUUGAUCACCUGAGAGAUCAGGUUUCCCCUUCGGGGGCAAAAUGACAGGUGGUGCAUGGUUGUCGUCAGCUCGUGUCGUGAGAUGUUGGGUUAAGUCCCGCAACGAGCGCAACCCUUAUGACUAGUUGCCAGCAUUUAGUUGGGCACUCUAGUAAGACUGCCGGUGACAAACCGGAGGAAGGUGGGGAUGACGUCAAAUCAUCAUGCCCCUUAUGACCUGGGCUACACACGUGCUACAAUGGAUGGUACAACGAGUUGCGAGACCGCGAGGUCAAGCUAAUCUCUUAAAGCCAUUCUCAGUUCGGACUGUAGGCUGCAACUCGCCUACACGAAGUCGGAAUCGCUAGUAAUCGCGGAUCAGCACGCCGCGGUGAAUACGUUCCCGGGCCUUGUACACACCGCCCGUCACACCAUGAGAGUUUGUAACACCCGAAGCCGG